ACGAACGCUGGCGGCGUGCUUAACCCCUGCAAGUCGUACGGUAAGGCCCUUUCGGGGGUACCCGAGUGGCGAACGGGUGAGUAACACGUGAGUAACCUGCCCACAACUUUGGGAUAACGCUAGGAAACUGGUGCUAAUACUGGAUAUGUGCUCCUGCUGCAUGGUGGGGGUUGGAAAGCUCCGGCGGUUGUGGAUGGACUCGCGGCCUAUCAGCUUGUUGGUGGGGUAGUGGCCUACCAAGGCGGCGACGGGUAGCCGGCCUGAGAGGGUGACCGGCCACAUUGGGACUGAGAUACGGCCCAGACUCCUACGGGAGGCAGCAGUGGGGAAUAUUGCACAAUGGGCGCAAGCCUGAUGCAGCAACGCCGCGUGCGGGAUGACGGCCUUCGGGUUGUAAACCGCUUUCAGCAGGGACGAAGCUUUUUGUGACGGUACCUGCAGAAGAAGCACCGGCUAACUACGUG
rnacentral:rRNA from 1 species